rnacentral:rRNA from 1 species
AUUGAACGCUGGCGGCAUGCCUUACACAUGCAAGUCGAACGGUAACGGGCCUUCGGGUGCCGACGAGUGGCGAACGGGUGAGUAAUACAUCGGAACGUGCCCGAUCGUGGGGGAUAACGAGGCGAAAGCUUUGCUAAUACCGCAUACGAUCUACGGAUGAAAGCAGGGGACCGCAAGGCCUUGCGCGGACGGAGCGGCCGAUGGCAGAUUAGGUAGUUGGUGAGAUAAAAGCUUACCAAGCCGACGAUCUGUAGCUGGUCUGAGAGGAUGAUCAGCCACACUGGGACUGAGACACGGCCCAGACUCCUACGGGAGGCAGCAGUGGGGAAUUUUGGACAAUGGGCGCAAGCCUGAUCCAGCCAUGCCGCGUGCAGGAUGAAGGCCUUCGGGUUGUAAACUGCUUUUGUACGGAACGAAAAGCCUUCUUUUAAUACAGGAGGGUCAUGACGGUACCGUAAGAAUAAGCACCGGCUAACUACGUG